rnacentral:rRNA from 1 species
AGAGUUUGAUCAUGGCUCAGAAUCAACGCUGGCGGCGUGCCUAACACAUGCAAGUCGAACGCGAAAGCCCCGCAAGGGGUUAUUAGAGUGGCGAACGGGUGAGUAACACGUGGGUGACCUACCUUCGAAUGGGGGAUAACGUCCCGAAAGGGACGCUAAUACCGCAUAACAUCCUGCUUUUGAACAAGUGGAGAUCAAAGCCGGGGAUCGCAAGACCUGGCGUUUGAAGAGGGGCCCGCGUCUGAUUAGCUAGUUGGUGAGGUAACGGCCCACCAAGGCGACGAUCAGUAUCCGGCCUGAGAGGGCGGACGGACACACUGGGACUGAGACACGGCCCAGACUCCUACGGGAGGCAGCAGUGGGGAAUUGUUCGCAAUGGGCGCAAGCCUGACGACGCAACGCCGCGUGGAGGAUGAAGGUCUUCGGAUUGUAAACUCCUGUUGCUCGGGACGAAAAGCUUCGACCUAACACGUCGAGGUCUGACGGUACCGGGUGAGGAAGCCCCGGCUAACUCUGUGCCGGCAGCCGCGGUAAUACAGAGGGGGCAAGCGUUGUUCGGAAUUACUGGGCGUAAAGGGCGCGUAGGCGGCCUUCUAAGUCGAACGUGAAAUCCCCGGGCUCAACCCGGGAACUGCGUCCGAUACUGGAAGGCUUGAAUUCGGGAGAGGGAUGCGGAAUUCCAGGUGUAGCGGUGAAAUGCGUAGAUAUCUGGAGGAACACCGGUGGCGAAGGCGGCAUCCUGGACCGGCAUUGACGCUGAGGCGCGAAAGCCAGGGGAGCAAACGGGAUUAGAUACCCUAGUAGUCC